rnacentral:rRNA from 1 species
UACAGAGGUCCCAAGCGUUGUUCGGAUUCACUGGGCGUAAAGGGUGCGUAGGUGGCCAGGUAAGUUUGGUGUGAAAGCUCGGAGCUCAACUCCGAAAUGGCAUUGAAUACUAUCUGGCUGGAGGGUCGGAGGGGAGACUGGAAUUCUCGGUGUAGCAGUGAAAUGCGUAGAUAUCGAGAGGAACACCUGUGGCGAAAGCGGCGCACUGGACCACAACUGACGCUGAUGCGCGAAAGCUAGGGGAGCAAACAGG